UGGCGGCGUGCCUAAUACAUGCAAGGUCGAACGCUUCUUUCCUCCCGAGUGCUUGCACUCAAUUGGAAAGAGGAGUGGCGGACGGGUGAGUAACACGUGGGUAACCUACCCAUCAGAGGGGGAUAACACUUGGAAACAGGUGCUAAUACCGCAUAACAGUUUAUGUCGCAUGGCAUAAGAGUGAAAGGCGCUUUCGGGUGUCGCUGAUGGAUGGACCCGCGGUGCAUUAGCUAGUUGGUGAGGUAACGGCUCACCAAGGCCACGAUGCAUAGCCGACCUGAGAGGGUGAUCGGCCACACUGGGACUGAGACACGGCCCAGACUCCUACGGGAGGCAGCAGUAGGGAAUCUUCGGCAAUGGACGAAAGUCUGACCGAGCAACGCCGCGUGAGUGAAGAAGGUUUUCGGAUCGUAAAACUCUGUUGUUAGAGAAGAACAAGGACGUUAGUAACUGAACGUCCCCUGACGGUAUCUAACCAGAAAGCCACGGCUAACUACGUGCCAGCAGCCGCGGUAAUACGUAGGUGGCAAGCGUUGUCCGGAUUUAUUGGGCGUAAAGCGAGCGCAGGCGGUUUCUUAAGUCUGAUGUGAAAGCCCCCGGCUCAACCGGGGAGGGUCAUUGGAAACUGGGAGACUUGAGUGCAGAAGAGGAGAGUGGAAUUCCAUGUGUAGCGGUGAAAUGCGUAGAUAUAUGGAGGAACACCAGUGGCGAAGGCGGCU
rnacentral:rRNA from 1 species